ensembl:snRNA U6 U6 spliceosomal RNA
AUGCUCCCUUCGGCAGCACAUACACUAAAAUUGAAACGAUACAGAGAAAAGAUUAGCAUGGCCCCUGUGCAAGAAAAAAAUUUUUUUAAUUUCCUAUUUUU